UACAGAGGUCCCAAGCGUUGUUCGGAUUCAUUGGGCGUAAAGGGUGCGUAGGUGGCGUCGUAAGUCGGGUGUGAAAUCUUGGAGCUUAACUCCGAAACUGCAUUCGAUACUGCCGUGCUUGAGGACUGGAGAGGAGACUGGAAUUUACGGUGUAGCGGUGAAAUGCGUAGAUAUCGUAAGGAAGACCAGUGGCGAAGGCGGGUCUCUGGACAGUUCCUGACGCUGAGGCACGAAGGCCAGGGGAGCAAACGGG
rnacentral:rRNA from 1 species